rnacentral:rRNA from 1 species
AUGAACGCUGGCGGCGUGCCUAAUACAUGCAAGUCGAGCGAACGGACGAGAAGCUUGCUUCUCUGAUGUUAGCGGCGGACGGGGGAGUAACACGUGGAUAACCUACCUAUAAGACUGGGAUAACUUCGGGAAACCGUAGCUAAUACCGGAUAAUAUUUUGAACCGCAUGGUUCAAAAGUGAAAGACGGUCUUGCUGUCACUUAUAGAUGGAUCCGCGCUGCAUUAGCUAGUUGGUAAGGUAACGGCUUACCAAGGCAACGAUGCAUAGCCGACCUGAGAGGGUGAUCGGCCACACUGGAACUGAGACACGGUCCAGACUCCUACGGGAGGCAGCAGUAGGGAAUCUUCCGCAAUGGGCGAAAGCCUGACGGAGCAACGCCGCGUGAGUGAUGAAGGUCUUCGGAUCGUAAAACUCUGUUAUUAGGGAAGAACAUAUGUGUAAGUAACUGUGCACAUCUUGACGGUACCUAAUCAGAAAGCCACGGCUAACUACGUG